GACGGAAGGUGCAAGCGUUGCUCGGAAUCACUGGGCGUAAAGGGUGCGUAGGCGGCCGCGCAAGUCUGGCGUGAAAGCCCCGGGCUCAGCCCGGGAAGGGCGCUCGAAACGGCGCGGCUCGAGUGCCGGAGGGGAGAGUGGAAUUCCUGGUGUAGCGGUGAAAUGCGUAGAUAUCAGGAGGAACACCGGUGGCGAAGGCGGGUCUCUAGUACGGUACUGACGCUGAGACGCGAAAGCGUGGGGAGCGAACAGG
rnacentral:rRNA from 1 species